UACAGAGGGUGCAAGCGUUAUUCGGAAUCACUGGGCGUAAAGUGCACGUAGGUGGUUUGGUAAGUUAGAUGUGAAAUCCCUCGACUCAAUCGAGGACCUGCAUCUAAUACUGCUAGACUAGAGUAUAGGAGGGGAGAACGGAAUUUCUGGUGUAGAGGUGAAAUUCGCAGAUAUCAGAAGGAACAACAGUGGCGAAAGCGGUUCUCUGGACUAUAACUGACACUGAGGUGCGAAAGCGUGGGGAGCAAACAGG
rnacentral:rRNA from 1 species